rnacentral:rRNA from 1 species
AGUGAACGCUGGCGGUAGGCCUAACACAUGCAAGUCGAACGGCAGCACAGUAAGAGCUUGCUCUUACGGGUGGCGAGUGGCGGACGGGUGAGGAAUACAUCGGAAUCUACUUUUUCGUGGGGGAUAACGUAGGGAAACUUACGCUAAUACCGCAUACGACCUACGGGUGAAAGCAGGGGAUCUUCGGACCUUGCGCGAUUGAAUGAGCCGAUGUCGGAUUAGCUAGUUGGCGGGGUAAAGGCCCACCAAGGCGACGAUCCGUAGCUGGUCUGAGAGGAUGAUCAGCCACACGGGAACUGAGACACGGUCCAGACUCCUACGGGAGGCAGCAGUGGGGAAUAUGGGACAAUGGGCGCAAGCCUGAUCCAGCCAUACCGCGUGGGUGAAGAAGGCCUUCGGGUUGUAAAGCCCUUUUGUUGGGAAAGAAAAGCAGCAGGUUAAUACCCCGCUGUUCUGACGGUACCCAAAGAAUAAGCACCGGCUAACUUCGUG